rnacentral:ncRNA from 2 species
UAGAAAUUAAUUGAAAUUAUAUGUAUAACCUCAAUAAUACGGCUUGAGGGUCUCUACCAGGAACCGUAAACUCCUGAUUACAGAAAAUGUCUUUUCAUUU